ACAACCAUGAUGCCCUGAGUAUUGGCGAAUGAAACGGGCAGUGUCCAGCACCGAACCGUUGGCCAUUGCAUGCCAUACGGAAUGUGGUGUUUGAGAGGGCCUCAUCGCUUGAUUUUGAUCAGUCCAAGUGCACCUUGACUGGGACCAUUGCCCACAGAGGGUGAUAGGCCCGUAUGGCGGUCAUUUUCUAGUGCUGGCUUCUUCUCUAGAGUCGAGUUGCUUGGGAGUGCAGCUCAAAGUGCGAGGUAAACUCCUCGUAAGACUAAAUAUCAUCCCAAGACCGAUAGCGAACAAGUACCGUGAGGGAAAGUUGAAAAGGACUUUGAAGAGAGAGUUCAAGAGUACGUGAAACUGCCUAGUGGUAAACGGAGGCGCUCUCGAAGUUUGGAUCGGAGAUUCAGGUUGUUGGGCCUUAACAAGUCUGACGGCUGUAUUUCUCCGACUCUGAACACAACGGGUCGUUGAUGCUGAUCAUGGACAGGCCUAGAUGUAGUUCUGGUCUGAUUUCCGCUUUCGGCGUCGACGAUCGGCAAAUUUGGUGUUCCAUCAUGUGGUUCACCGUUGUUGUGAGUAGGUCGGCGGCGUCUCUGACCCGUCUUGAAACACGGACCAAGGAGUCUAACAUGUGUGCAAGUCGCAGGGUUUACUAAACCCUUGGGCACAGUGAAAGCAAAGGAUGCCGUUAGGUAUCUAAAGGAUGAUUGUCGUCUCGUGUGGACGGCGUGCAAUCCUGGCGUUCUGUUUUGACCUCGUUUCAUGCAGAACAGCUAGAGCAUACAUGUUGGGACCCGAAAGAUGCGUGAACUAUGCCUGGCCAGGCUGAAGUCAGGGGAAACUCUGAUGGAGGGCCGUAGCGAUUCUGACGUGCAAAUCGAUCGUCGGAGCUGGGUAUAGGGGCGAAAGACUAUUCGAACCAUCUCG
rnacentral:rRNA from 1 species